rnacentral:lncRNA from 1 species
CCUAGCCAUUAGUACAGAGCCUCACAUAUAAUAGAUGCUUAAGAAAUACUUGCUGAAUAGAAUCAUCAACACCAUUGGUUUCAACAGAACGAGAAUUAUUUCAAAUUAUGUUUGGCUGAUGUUGUUGCUGUUGAUGUUGUUGUUGAUGUUGUUGUUGAUGCUGUUGAUGUUGUUGAUGUUGAUGUUGCUGAUGUUGAUGUUGUUGUUGCUGUUGAUGUUGUUGUUGCUGAUGUUGAUGUUGAUGUUGUUGUUGAUGUUGUUGCUGAUGUUGAUGUUGUUGUUGAUGUUGUUGUUGAUGCUGUUGAUGUUGUUGCUGAUGUUGAUGUUGUUGUUGAUGUUGUUGUUGAUGCUGUUGAUGUUGUUGAUGUUGUUGAUGUUGAUGUUGUUGCUGAUGUUGUUGUUGCUGAUGUUGUUGUUGCUGAUGUUGUUGAUGUUGCUGUUGUUGCUGUUGCUGUUGUUGAUGUUGUUGUUAAUGUUGAUGAUGUUGAUGUUGUUGAUGUUGUUGCUGCUGAUGUUGAUGUUGCUGAUGUUGAUGUUGUUGUUGAUGUUGUUGCUGAUGUUGAUGUUGUUGAUGUUGAUGUUGUUGUUGCUGUUGAUGUUGUUGAUGUUGUUGUUGAUGUUGAUGUUGUUGAUGUUGUUGAUGUUGUUGAUGUUGAUGUUGUUGAUGUUGUUGAUGUUGUUGUUGAUGUUGAUGUUGUUGAUGUUGAUGUUGUUGAUGAUUUUGCUGUUGUUGAUGUUGUUGAUGUUGAUGUUGCUGCUGAUGUUGAUGUUGUUGUUGAUGUUGAUGUUGUUGUUGCUGUUGUUGCUGUUGUUGCUGUUGAUGUUGUUGAUGUUGUUGAUGUUGUUGAUGUUGUUGAUGUUGUUGAUGUUGAUGUUGAUGUUGUUGUUGCUGUUGAUGUUGUUGAUGUUGUUGUUGAUGUUGAUGUUGUUGAUGUUGUUGAUGUUGUUGAUGUUGUUGAUGUUGAUGUUGUUGAUGUUGUUGAUGUUGUUGUUGAUGUUGAUGUUGUUGAUGUUGAUGUUGUUGUUGCUGAUGUUGUUGAUGUUGCUGAUAUUGUUGAUGAUGUUGAUGUUGUUGCUGUUGUUGAUGUUGCUGAUGUUGAUGUUGUUGAUGUUGUUGCUGUUGAUGUUGUUGCUGUUGACGUUGUUGUUGAUGUUGAUGUUGAUGUUGAUGUUGUUGCUGUUGUUGUUAAUGUUGAUGAUGUUGAUGUUGUUGAUGUUGCUGCUGAUGUUGAUGUUGCUGAUAUUGUUGUUGCUGUUGAUGUUGUUGAUGUUGUUGUUGAUGUUGAUGUUGUUGAUGUUGUUGUUGAUGUUGAUGUUGUUGUUGCUGAUGUUGUUGAUGUUGCUGAUAUUGUUGAUGAUGUUGAUGUUGUUGCUGUUGUUGAUGUUGCUGAUGUUGAUGUUGUUGAUGUUGUUGCUGUUGAUGUUGUUGCUGUUGACGUUGUUGUUGAUGUUGAUGUUGAUGUUGUUGAUUGUUGAUGUUGUUGAUGUUGUUGAUGUUGAUGUUGUUGUUGCUGAUGUUGUUGAUGUUGCUGUUGUUGCUGUUGUUGUUAAUGUUGAUGAUGUUGAUGUUGUUGAUGUUGCUGCUGAUGUUGAUGUUGCUGAUAUUGUUGUUGCUGUUGAUGUUGUUGAUGUUGUUGUUGAUGUUGAUGUUGUUGAUGUUGUUGUUGAUGUUGAUGUUGUUGUUGCUGAUGUUGUUGAUGUUGCUGAUAUUGUUGAUGAUGUUGAUGUUGUUGCUGUUGUUGAUGUUGCUGAUGUUGAUGUUGUUGAUGUUGUUGCUGUUGAUGUUGUUGCUGUUGAUGUUGUUGUUGAUGUUGAUGUUGAUGUUGAUGUUGCUGUUGUUGCUGUUGUUGCUGUUGAUGUUGAUGAUGUUGUUGAUGUUGUUGAUGUUGUUGAUGUUGUUGCUGAUGUUGAUGUUGAUGCUGUUGCUGUUGUUGCUGUUGAUGUUGAUGAUGUUGUUGAUGUUGUUGAUGUUGUUGAUGUUGUUGCUGAUGUUGAUGUUGAUGCUGUUGCUGUUGUUGCUGUUGAUGUUGAUGAUGUUGUUGAUGUUGUUGCUGUUGUUGAUGUUGUUGAUGUUGUUGCUGUUGAUGUUGUUGCUGUUGAUGUUGUUGUUGAUGUUGAUGUGAUGUUGUUGUUGUUGCUGUUGUUGCUGUUGAUGUUGAUGAUGUUGUUGAUGUUGUUGAUGUUGUUGAUGUUGUUGCUGAUGUUGAUGUUGAUGCUGUUGCUGUUGUUGCUGUUGAUGUUGAUGAUGUUGUUGUUGUUGCUGCUGAUGUUGAUGUUGAUGUUGCUGUUGUUGCUGUUGUUGCUGUUGAUGUUGAUGAUGUUGUUGAUGUUGUUGAUGUUGUUGCUGUUGUUGCUGUUGUUGCUGUUGAUGUUGAUGAUGUUGUUGAUGUUGUUGAUGUUGUUGAUGUUGUUGCUGAUGUUGAUGUUGAUGCUGUUGCUGUUGUUGCUGUUGAUGUUGAUGAUGUUGUUGAUGUUGCUGCUGAUGUUGAUGUUGAUGUUGCUGUUGUUGCUGUUGAUGUUGAUGAUGUUGAUGAUGUUGUUGAUGUUGUUGCUGAUGUUGAUGUUGAUGUUGCUGUUGUUGCUGUUGAUGUUGAUGAUGUUGUUGAUGUUGUUGCUGUUGUUGCUGUUGUUGCUGUUGAUGUUGAUGAUGUUGUUGAUGUUGUUGAUGUUGUUGAUGUUGUUGAUGUUGUUGCUGAUGUUGAUGUUGAUGCUGUUGCUGUUGUUGCUGUUGAUGUUGAUGAUGAUGUUGUUGUUGUUUGUUCUUUGUUCUUGAAGAGGACCAUGACAUAAGAGAGGCAAUACCAUGGCAUUCAAGUGAAUUGAAUUUAAGUGAGGGAUGGCUAUGUGAAGUCACCAGCCUCACUUUCCCCUCCAAUUCAAUUAAGGUUGAGGGGAAUAUUGAGGUAUUAAGGACAGUCUUAGAGGAGAGGGAAAAUAGCACAAUGAUCCUAAGAUCAUAGGCUCAAAACUUUAGAGCUGGAAGAGACCUGACAGGCCAACAAAUGCAAUCCCUUCC